UACAGAGGUGGCAAGCGUUGUUCGGAAUUACUGGGCGUAAAGGGCGCGUAGGCGGCCAUCUAAGUCAGACGUGAAAUCCCCCGGCUCAACCUGGGAACUGCGUCUGAUACUGGGAGGCUAGAGUUUGGGAGAGGGAUGUAGAAUUCCAGGUGUAGCGGUGAAAUGCGUAGAUAUUCGCAAGAACACCAGUGGCGAAGGCGGCUCACUGGCCCGGAACUGACGCUGAGAUGCGAAAGCGUGGGGAGCAAACAGG
rnacentral:rRNA from 1 species